GGAGAGAGGUGCGGCGGGGUGCCCGAGCCCCCAAAACGCGGUGCAAAGGCGCAGGAACCGGUGCCCGCAGCUGUUCCCUAGCAUAGCACAUCAUCGGUCUGAUGUAGAAACGUGGAGGAACUGAGGAGCUCCAGCACUUACCUUCGCUGGAGACCCGGAGCUCCAGGGCAGCCGCCCAGGUUGCUGGCUUUGAUGUAGAUCUGACAACGGGCUGCUCUUAAGUUUGGGACCUCCCACCGUUUCCAGUGCACUGAGGUUGGGCCAAACUCGCUACAAAUCGGAAAGAAAAAAAAAAAAAAAGGAAAAAGAAAAGAAAAAAAAAAAAAAAAGCCCUGAUCAGAUUCAAAAUGCUUUGAAUGAAACGGUUCUGGAAAUACAGCCAACAUUUUCCAACUUAAUUAUUUCCUUGGGAAAAUUCCAGACAGCUGGGAACCAAGUGAUAACUCAUGCAUAUUCCUAUAAACGCUGCCCUGUAACUUCUCUUCUAGCCAUUUCUUCUUUGUUUACCGCUGAGCGCAGCCGGCCCGUGUUCGCGUGCAGCCCGAGGAGACAUCUAGUGACUGAACCCUCAAACUGCAAAUCCAAUCAGCCCGAAACCUUGGAGGUCGCCCUCUUUUCGGGGCCGAGAGGCGAAGGCUCCAGGACACCGUCCAGUGGCCACCAUCCUCAGUGGGUGGUGGAGGCCGAUUUCAGGCCGACCCCUUCGUGACCGAGGUCUGAAGCAGUGCUGGACAGAUUUGUCGGCAGAGGCGCGGGACGGGCUGGGGCAAUUCCUAACUUGCAGUAAACCACGGCGAAGGAAGCCCUUGGGUAUAAGGGCUUAUAAGGCGUUUUCAUCUCCCUUUGAUCGUGCCUUUGUCUUCUUCAGCUUAACUUUUUUUUAAUGCCCGGGAGCACAAUCCUUUUAACACGUGCGACUGUAAAUCUUUGCCUCAUUUCAACGAAUGCACACACAAUCUGAGUAUUUGCCAGUGACUUUAGUUUUGAAGACCAAGCCAAACUGACGGCAGCUAAUCUUUGUUUAACGUGAAGUUCAAAUAUUUCAGCUGGAAAGCAAAUGUCCAUCUUAAAAUAAAACAAAACAAAAUCUGCACUGCA